CUUAGAAAAACAGGACUUGAACCUGUACCAAAGAACUCAAAAUUCUAUGUACUCCCACUAUACUACUUCCU
rnacentral:tRNA from 1 species